AGCGUAGGCGGGAUCGCAAGUCAGAUGUGAAAACUAUGGGCUUAACCCAUAAACUGCAUUUGAAACUGUGGUUCUUGAGUGAAGUAGAGGUAAGCGGAAUUCCUAGUGUAGCGGUGAAAUGCGUAGAUAUUAGGAGGAACAUCAGUGGCGAAGGCGGCUUACUGGGCUUUAACUGACGCUGAGGCUCGAAAGCGUGGGGAGCAAACA
rnacentral:rRNA from 1 species